GACGAACCGUCCAAACGUUGUUCGGAAUCACUGGGCUUAAAGGGCGCGUAGGCGGGCUAUCAAGUCCGGGGUGAAAUCCUCCAGCUUAACUGGAGAACGGCCUCGGAUACUGAUGGUCUCGAGGGGGGUAGGGGCACGCGGAACUGUGGGUGGAGCGGUGAAAUGCGUUGAUAUCCAUAGGAACUCCGGUAGCGAAGGCGGCGUGCUGGACCUCUUCUGACGCUGAGGCGCGAAAGCCAGGGGAGCAAACGGG
rnacentral:rRNA from 1 species